rnacentral:rRNA from 1 species
UCCUACGGGUGGCUGCAGGCGCGAAAACUUUACAAUGCGGGAAACCGUGAUAAGGGAACCCCGAGUGCCCGUAAAUUCGGGCUGUCCAUCAGCGUAAAUAACUGGUGAAGAAAGGGCCGGGCAAGACCGGUGCCAGCCGCCGCGGUAAUACCGGCGGCUCGAGUGGUGGCCACUAUUAUUGGGCUUAAAGCGUCCGUAGCUUGGUUGUUAAGUCUCUUGGGAAAUCUACCGGCUCAACCGGUAGGCGUUCAGGAGAUACUGGCAAUCUAGGGACCGGGAGAGGUGAGAGGUACUCCAGGGGUAGGAGUGAAAUCCUGUAAUCCUUGGGGGACCACCUGUGGCGAAGGCGUCUCACUAGAACGGCUCCGACAGUGAGGGACGAAAGCUGGGGGAGCAAACCGGAUUAGAUACCCCUGUAGUCA